rnacentral:rRNA from 1 species
AGUCAUUGGGUGUCAAACCUAAAGGCGCAAUGAAAGUGUCAGAGGGGCGCUCAGCGCUCCUCGGAGGGAGGAUGGGCUCCCGGCCCCCCGGCCGGUGCCCCGCACUCCCGGGGCGUUUCAUUCUCGUUUACGAGUCGAGACGCACCAGGAGCGCACACGCUGUUACCCGAAAGAUGGUGAACUAUGCCUGGCCAGGACGAAGCCAGGGGAAACCCUGGUGGAGGUCCGAAGCGAUUCUGACGUGCAAAUCGAUCGUCUGAGCUGGGUAUAGGGGCGAAAGACCAAUCGAACUAUCUAGUAGCUGGUUCCCUCUGAAGUUUCCCUCAGGAUAGCUGGCUCUCGGGAAGAGACGAGUCUCAUCCGGUAGAGCGAAUGAUUAGAGGUGAUGGGGUCGAAACGACUUCAACCUAUUCUCAAACUCCCAAUAGAUGAGAGCCCCGGCUUGCUUGAAAGUGAAGCCGCGGGACUCGGAUCGGAGAGGCCAAGUGGGCCAAUUUUG